CCUACGGGUGGCAGCAGUGGGGAAUAUUGCACAAUGGGGGAAACCCUGAUGCAGCGACGCCGCGUGAGUGAAGAAGAAUGUCGGUAUGUAAAGCUCUAGCAGCAGGGAAGAAAAGGACGGUAGCUGAUGAAGAAGCCACGGCUAACUACGUGCCAGCAGCCGCGGUAAUACGGAGGGGGCAAGCGUUAUCCGGAUUGACUGGGUUUAAAGGGAGCGUAGACGGCAGCACAAGUCGGGAGUGAAAUGGCGGGGCUUAACCCCGGAACUGCUUUUGAAACUGUGCAGCUAGAGUGCAGGAGAGGUGAGUGGACUUCCUAUUGUAGCGGUGACAUGCUUCGCUAUU
rnacentral:rRNA from 1 species